UCCCGGAGGAGGUGGAGGGCAGGGACGGCGUGCUCAGGAGGGAGUGGGGCUCGCGGUGCUUGCAGAGGAGGCACUCUAGCAAAUGCAUCAUGAAGCCGACUGCCCCCCUUCUCCCCUCCCCACCCUUUGAAGCCUGGGGGCAAAGGAUUC